rnacentral:lncRNA from 1 species
GCAACGAGCGGCGCAGAGGUCCAGGUUCGAACCUGCAAUAAACGACCCUUGCUGAUUGGCUUUGACUCACGUCUCUGGUGGUCUUUUAAGGCGGGGGUAAUACUCGAUUGGCAUUUCAGUUUGGAUUCUCUGAUGGAAAAUUUUAUUCAUUUGCGAGAGAGCAGGGGGAGGGCCAGAGGGAGAAGGAGAGAGAGAAUCCCAAGCAGAUUCCCCACUGAGCACCGAGCCUGACCGAGAGAUCACAGCCUGAGCCGACAUCAAGAGUCAACUGAACUGACCGAGCCAGCCAGGUACCCCCAUUCCCACAAUUCUUACACUUGUUUUAGGAUCAUACAUCCCAGUAAGAUUUGUCUGAUAACGCAUGAGAAAUGAACUUUGGCUGAAAGCAUUUUCUUAUCCUUUAUAUUCAGAAGGAUCCUUGCUUGUUUGAAUCUUGUGACGUUGAAUAAGGUGUGUAUUUUGCUUGAAAGAUUUAUGCAUAUUUUGCACUGAAAAGAUUUUUCUGCAGAGCAGAUUUUCUGAUGUUG